rnacentral:rRNA from 1 species
UACAGAGGGGGCAAGCGUUAUUCGGAAUUAUUGGGCGUAAAGAGCGCGCAGGCGGUCGAUCAAGUCGCGUGUGAAAGCCCCCGGCUCAACUGGGGAGGGUCACGCGAUACUGAUCGACUCGAAGGCAGGAGAGGGUAGUGGAAUUCCCGGUGUAGUGGUGAAAUGCGUAGAUAUCGGGAGGAACACCAGUGGCGAAGGCGACUACCUGGCCUGUUCUUGACGCUGAGGCGCGAAAGCUAGGGGAGCAAACGGG